UACGUAGGGGGCUAGCGUUGUUCGGAAUCACUGGGCGUAAAGCGCUCGUAGGCGGUCUCUUAAGUCGGUGGUGAAAUCCUGGAGCUCAACUCCAGAACUGCCUUCGAUACUGGGAGUCUCGAGUCCGGGAGAGGUGAGUGGAACUGCGAGUGUAGAGGUGAAAUUCGUAGAUAUUCGCAAGAACACCAGUGGCGAAGGCGGCUCACUGGCCCGGUACUGACGCUGAGGUGCGAAAGCGUGGGGAGCAAACAGG
rnacentral:rRNA from 1 species